GCCAGACUCCUACGGGAGGCAGCAGUGGGGAAUAUUGGGCAAUGGGCGCAAGCCUGACCCAGCAACGCCGCGUGAAGGAAGAAGGCUUUCGGGUUGUAAACUUCUUUUCUCAGGGACGAAUAGAUGACGGUACCUGAGGAAUAAGCCACGGCUAACUACGUGCCAGCAGCCGCGGUAAUACGUAGGUGGCAAGCGUUAUCCGGAUUUACUGGGUGUAAAGGGCGUGUAGGCGGGGACGCAAGUCAGAUGUGAAAACCACGGGCUCAACCUGUGGCCUGCAUUUGAAACUGUGUUUCUUGAGUACUGGAGAGGCAGACGGAAUUCCUAGUGUAGCGGUGAAAUGCGUAGAUAUUAGGAGGAACACCAGUGGCGAAGGCGACUUUCUGGACUGUACCUGACGCUGAGGCGCGAAAGCGUGGGUAGCGAACGGGAUUAGAUACCCGCGUAAA
rnacentral:rRNA from 1 species